rnacentral:rRNA from 1 species
CGCCCACGGAUCAACUUCGGUUGAUAGUAGGAGAGCGUCGCCCGCCGCGACGAAGCUGGACGGAAACGACCAGUGGAGCGCGGGCGAGUGCGAAUGCCGGAACGAGUAACGACAAGACAGGUGGGAAGCCUGUCCGCCGAAAGCACAAGGUUUCCUGGGGAAGGUCAAUCCGCCCAGGGUCAGUCGGGACCUAAGGCGAGGCCCAAGGGCGUAGCCGAUGGACAGGCGGUUAAUAUUCCGCCACCCGAUGGUAAGGUUGAACCGCGGAGGACGCCGGUUCCAGUCAGGUCGGGGUGCUAGAAUACCCCGUGCCGCAAGGCCGACAGCAUUCGAUCUGGAAGCCUGAUGACGAGCCGGCCACGAAAAGCCCCGCGGGGACGAACCAUCCGGCCCGUACCGCAAUCCGACACAGGUGUGCUAGGCGAGUAUCCGGAGGCGUUCGGGAGAACCCUCGUGAAGGAACUCGGCAAAAUGACCCCGUACCUUCGGUACAAGGGGUGCUCUCCGUAAGGAGAGCCGCAGAGAAUCGGCUCUAGCGACUGUUUAUCAAAAACACAGGACUCUGCCAACUCGCAAGAGGACGUAUAGAGUCUGACGCCUGCUCGGUGUCGGUAGGUUAAGGGAGCCGAUGAGGCGAGAGCUGAAGUUGGCGACCGAAGCCCCGAUAAACGGCGGCCGUAACUAUGACGGUCCUAAGGUAGCGAAGUUCCUUGUCGGGUAAGUUCCGACCUGCAUGAAUGGCGUAACGACUGGAGCACUGUCUCCACGAGGGACCCGGUGAAACUGUAGCCGUGGUGAAGAUGCCACGUACCCGCGGUCAGACGGAAAGACCCCGUGAACCUUUACUGCAGGUUGGCAUUGGGUCAGCGUCCUUUCUGUGUAGCAUAGGUGGGAGGCCGUGAUCCGGCGGCGCCAGCCGUCGGGGAGCCAUCGGUGAAAUACCACCCUGAAAUGACUCUGAUCCUCACCGGUCCGUAGCCCGGGCCGGGACCAUGCUCAUCGGGCAGUUUGACUGGGGCGGUCUCCUCCCAAAGAGUAACGGAGGAGUGCAUGGUACCCUCGGCCAGGUCGGCAAUCUGGCAACACGAGCGCAAACGUAGAAGGGUGCCUGACUGCGAGACCCAUCAGUCGAGCAGGGACGAAAGUCGGCGUUAGUGAUCCGGCGGUGCUGGAUGGAAAGGCCGUCGCUCAACAUAUAAAAGGUACUCCGGGGAUAACAGGCUGAUCUCCCCCGAGCGUCCAUAGCGGCGGGGAGGUUUGGCACCUCGAUGUCGGCUCAUCGCAUCCUGGGGCUGGAGAAGGUCCCAAGGGUUUGGCUGUUCGCCAAUGAAAGCGGUACGCGAGCUGGGUUCAGACCGUCGUGAGACUGGUCGGUCCCUAUCUGCCGUGGGCGGAGGAAACUUGCGAAGGGUCUCCCCUAGUACGAGAGGAUUGGGGAGGACCGACCUCUCUGUACCGGCUGUCCUGCUAAGGGCACCGCCGGGUAGCUAGGUCGGGAAAGGAUAAGCGCUGAAGGCAUCUAAGCGCGAAGCCCUCUUCAAGACGAGGUUUCCAGCACGCAAGUGCGAAGGCUCCUGGAAGACGACCAGGUCGAUAGGCCGGGAGUGCACGGCGAGCGAUCGCCGCAGCCGACCGGUCCUAACAGCCAAUCGCUUGACCAC